GUGACCCCGAUCUCUGUGGUAUUCACAGUAAUCAUCCAAAUUUUGUUGUUCUGGAUUCUCCUUCAUCCAUCUCGGUGGUUGUAGAAUUCAUUUAUGUUCUAUGAUGAUCAUUAUGUCAACAAGCUUAUCCUUGAGAGGUGAGAACUUCUCGAAGGUGCGAUUUUUGGCGGGACGUCUCUCUUCUUUUCUAUUAUAGUUGUGGAUUCCCUC
rnacentral:lncRNA from 1 species